GAAAAUAUUUCUGAAAUGUAAAUUUAAUAUACAAAAAUUUCCGAUAACAAGAACAGGAAAUUAACAAAUUGCACCAUCAUGAAACAGCAUGACAAAGCUUCAUGUCGGCAAAAAUAUAAGUGAAUUUUAUGUUUGCUUGCUCCGCGCAUAAAAAAGACAGAGAUAUGAGUAUUCUUUAUCUCGUUUCGUUUUUAUGGGUACUUUCGAUUGAUUUGUCAGCCAUGGCGGCUGUUCAUUCGUGUCCAGACGGUAGUUAUUACAGUAACAAUACUGCUGAGUGUGUGCAAUGUGAUGGAAAAUGCACGAAUCAGACUAUUUCAGACAAAGAACGGUGUAGGCUGGCGUGCAGUUCCAUGUCUAAAUCUGAAAAAGAAGAAAAAUCAGAAAUUAAUUAUGGUCUUGUAAUUGGUCUGCCGGUCAUUUUGGGGAUUGGAUUUUUGGUUCUUUUGUUUUGUCUUGUGGUUGCUUGCUGUCGCAGGUCUUGGCCAUGUUGGAAAAAUCCUCUCACUUCUACAAGUUUACAAGGUGCAUAAUUGCUAACCUUAUCUUAGUUAUUUCAUAGCUUUAUCUCAUAUUAUAUAUAGUUAGUGAUAAUUAUACCAAAUAUAUACUUUGUUUUUGGGAAACUGCUCUAAAAACAUUUCAAAGAACAAUUCACUCUUUACACUUUAUCCUCAAACAAAGGGAUACAAUAUUUGUAUAGGAGUUUUAUGUUUCAAAUUAUUUUCAUUUGUAAAUAAUUAAUUAUCUUUUUAUAUUAUGAUUGAAUUAUGAAUACCUACAUAAUAUAUUUAUUCAAUAUAUACUUUUGAAAAAAUAAAUGGUGUUUCAUACAUCUAAA